UACCUGCAGCUCGAGUGGUGGCCGCUAUUAUUGGGCCUAAAACGUCCGUAGCCGGUUUAAUAAAUGCCUGGGUAAAUCGUGUAGCUUAACUAUACGAAUUCCGGGUAGACUGUUAGACUUGAGACCGGGAGAAGCUAGAGGUACUCCUGGGGUAGAGGUGAAAUUCUGUAAUCCUAGGGGGACCACCAGUGGCGAAGGCGUCUAGCUAGAACGGGUCUGACGGUGAGGGACGAAGCCCUGGGGCGCAAACCGGAUUAGAUACCCGGGUAGUCCAGGGUGUAAACGCUGCUUGCUUGAUGUUAGUUGGGCUCUGAGCCCAAUUAGUGUCGGAGAGAAGUUGUUAAGCAAGCUGCCUGGGAAGUACGGUCGCAAGACUGAAAACUUAAAGGAAUUGGCGGGGAGCACAGCAACGGGUGGAGCGUGCGGUUU
rnacentral:rRNA from 1 species